UCGAUCAGUGUCUUGAGAUUUACUCACUU
rnacentral:sRNA from 1 species